AGUAAUGUCUGGGAAACGGCCUGAUGGAGGGGGGUAACUACUGGAAACGGUAGCUAAUACCGCAUAACGUCGCAAGACCAAAGUGGGGGACCGUUCGGGCCUCAUGCCAUCAGAUGUGCCCAGAUGGGAUUAGCUAGUAGGUGGGGUAACGGCUCACCUAGGCGACGAUCCCUAGCUGGUCUGAGAGGAUGACCAGCCACACUGGAACUGAGACACGGUCCAG
rnacentral:rRNA from 1 species